rnacentral:rRNA from 1 species
UACGUAGGUGGCAAGCGUUAUCCGGAAUUACUGGGUGUAAAGGGUGAGUAGGCGGCAUGGUAAGCCAGAUGUGAAAGCCUUGGGCUUAACCCGAGGAUUGCAUUUGGAACUAUCAAGCUAGAGUACAGGAGAGGAAAGCGGAAUUCCUAGUGUAGCGGUGAAAUGCGUAGAUAUUAGGAAGAACACCAGUGGCGAAGGCGGCUUUCUGGACUGAAACUGACGCUGAGGCACGAAAGCGUGGGGAGCGAACAGG